rnacentral:lncRNA from 1 species
UUCUCCUGAAAGGUGUAUAUCUCUUAUUCUCUUAGCAAGUUGCUUUUGUUUAUCUGUGUUUAAUGCAGUGAAAUUUUUUAAUUCUGUAUUUUGUGAGGUCUUAUUCAAAACAUCACUAAUUUGUGCAGCGAGUUUUCUGCUGUUUAUUUUUACCCAAUGUUACUUUUAUUCUUCUGUUAUUGAUUCCUAUGUUCUAACAUACUGUUGCUUAUUAGAGAACUUCUUUAGAAAUAUAUAUAUAGAACAUUAUAUAAGUGGGUAGACUUGAAGUGCCACAUUGCAUUAACUGGGUAAUACUAGACUGUUCCUUUAAUUUCUCCAAGCUCCAGCUUUUCAUUUGUAUAAAAAUAAUAAUUUAUUGCCUUCCUCUUAUAUUAAGAGCAGAGAUCUUGUUGGAGAAAUUAAAGGAGUAGUAAUUUUAAGUGACACACCACAGUAAUUUGUUGUAUAUAUCUCAAUACAUUGGUGUCAAAAAGGGGUACACUUAAAUUCCAAGUAUGCAUAUUUAUGGAGCAUUUAUAGAUAUCUUAAUGUCAAAAGUAAAACAAACCAGAAAAGCAAAUAGACGCUAGGCAAAUAUAUUAGUAAACAUCCAGAGGCAAUUUCCUAUUGGAUAAAGAAACCAUGAUGUUAGUAUGCUAGUACAUUUCUCUAAGGUGUGUAUGAAUUAGGUCUGGAGAAUAUGACAAGUGUAAAGAACAGGAGAGAACAAAAAGACUUAGCAAAUAUUAGAUAAUUAUAUAUAAUUAUGGUAUAUAUCUUAAUUUUGAAAUCAUUUCUAGAUAUAGCUAUUUCACCUGUUUCAAUAUAACUGCUAUAUAUUUAUAUCCUAGAAUUAGAUAAUUUAAUGGUUAUACUCUGAGUUAAAAUACCCUGCAUUCCUUAUUAAAUAUGUCACAAAUUGGAUUGAAACAAUUAUUAUGUAGAUAAAAUUAAAAUUAUAUAAUCUAUUUUAAUGCACCCUUUAUACCCACAUUCUUCUUUUUUUUUAGAAAACUUCCAUUUAAUAAAUACAAAUUUCGAAAGUACA